rnacentral:rRNA from 1 species
UACAGAGGCCACGAGCGUUAGGCGGAAUCACUGGGCUUAAAGCGUGUGUAGGUGGAUGGGUAAGUACCUUGUGAAAUCCCACGGCUCAACCGUGGAACUGCUUGGUAUACUGCCUGUCUUGAGGCACUCAGGGGCGAGCGGAACAGAUGGUGGAGCGGUGAAAUGCGUAGAUAUCAUCUGGAACGCCAAUGGUGGAAGACAGCUCGCUGGGGGUGUACUGACACUGAGACACGAAAGCCAGGGGAGCCAAACGGG